rnacentral:lncRNA from 1 species
ACCCCGCCCCUCCCUUGCUUAGUCGCUCGGCUGGCCCGGCUCACCUUCGGGGUGAAGGCUACCAGCGAGCGUUAUAGCAGACGACUUUAAUAAAUGCAGGCGGCAGCAGGAACUCUGGGAACUUGGGUGCCCUUGCCUGGCAGUAAGGGUUGAAUUAUCCGGAUCUGAAAUACUUUACAGAGCCGAGGGGUGAUAGGCUCUGCAAAAGCACUUUUUGCCCCUCUCCUUUAUGCCAAUACUCGCUGACUGUGCACACAAGUCAUAUUCAGUAUUAAAUACAAACCGGUCUGUAAUUCAAUGGCUCUAGCAAGACGCCUCUGAGAGGGCCAGGUGGCGGGUGCAAGUUGCUCAUUAACCCUUUAGAGUCGCAGUUUGCAGAUCUGAGUUAGAUCCCCGGCUUUGAGGUCCUUCAGUUGCCCUCCUCCCCCACCUCCCCCCGCCACUGCGAGAAAAAUGUGCAAAGAGAAGGAAAUUUGCACAUCAAACGAGGGGCAAUCGCGGCGGUAGAUGAACUUGAUUAGGCAGACGCGUGAGAUCAAAGUGGCCGGGACCAAAGCGGACAGGGUCCAACGUGCCAGCACUGCCAAGAGAAGGCCUUUUGUACUCAGGUUAAAUAAGAACAUCCUGCAAGGAGUCUGUUCUUUUAUGCAGCCUAAAGAUCAAGUAAUAAUCAUUGACACUGAUACUGAGCAUGUCGAUUUUGAAGAGACUAGCAUUUCCUGGUAAUGAAGUGGAGUAUAUAUCCAUAUAUUUCUGUUUUCUGGAUGAGAAGACUAACCUAACUAAGUAGGAACCUUGAAGAAUCAUGUUCUUCCUAGGAAUUACAAAUCCCCCGAUUCCAUGUCUAACAUAAUUUCUACUGGCCUCUUUGCUUCUCAUGCUUUAGUACCAGUGCUUCUGAAUUUGAAAGUCUUCAUGCAAAUUGCCCAGGUUUGCUGGCAGCUGUGUCUCAGAAAAAGCUGUCUUCAGCAAGGCAGAAGCAGGGCAUGCAAGUGCAAGUAGACCUCGCCUCCCCUCCCCUGCUGGCACACAUGUGUGCAUGCAACAUGAGCACAUUCCACAGCCCUGCUCCCAAUGAUGUGCAGUCUGCCACACUGCCACUACUGGGAAUGAAGGAGCUGGACUUGGAGAUCUCUCUCACCUCUGAAGUUGUGUAAGUGAAGUAUACUGACCCAGUGUGACCACGCUGCUAUUCGAAGACUUACUCAAAGUUUUCAAACAGACUAACCAUGUGGGACUGUGAUUUAGCAAGGAAAACAGCCAGAAUAAACAUGUCAGUGUCUCCGUUUUAUGGUGGCUUCAUGUGCAGCAUUGUGACCUAUACCUCGGAGUUUUUCUUAUACCAGAUGAAGCUUGUUCUAUAGUCUUCACAAGGACAUAACACUUGUCAUAAGUAAAUGUUUCUAUUCUCUUGAUAUCAUUCCGAUUAUAUCAAAACGUGCUUUGAAACAACAAGCAGUAGAAUCACUUGGUAUAAUCUUGUCCUCAGUUGACAUGUUUACUUAUUUUUAUCCAGCCUAUGUUUGAAGUCCAACAUGAGCUCAUUUCUCAUGCUGGGGUGGAAUGUAUGAAGGGAUCCAAUUCUUUUGCAUCUUUAGAGAUUAUCUCAUGAAGCAAGGUUCAAUUUAGAACUCUGAGAUCUAACACUGAUUACUUAACUUUACGAGGAAAUACACAAAAAAAUCUGAAUGUCCAGACAAAAGCUGGAAAAAAAAACUUAUCUGUAUCUGCUUCAUCCUUUAUAAAAUGGAAACCUACAAGUGUUUUCCUAAUAAAAUUGUAGUGAACCUGCACAAAGUGAGCAUCUCCAUCACAUUUGCUAUUACUAUUGUGGCUACUAUUAUUAUUAUUGCCUAAAGUAUUGUCUAAGAUGAACACAGAUUUAGAGAUACUGCUACACUAAAUAGCACUUUCUACUAUUUAGUUAAUGUCUAUAUCAUAAUUAGUAUACAAUCAUAGUAGAUUUAUUCAGCAUGACACUAUCAUAAUAACUUAUUUCAAAGAGGUUUUGAAAUAUGGAUUUUAUAAUAUAAAAUAUUUUGAGAAUCCUUCACCCAGGGAAGUUUUAUUUAUAUAAUUAUUAUCUACUUCUAAUAGAUCCUAUCUGCCCACAAAUCCCCAAUAAUACCAGCUCUACUUCUGCUGCAGUAUAAUGCUGCAUUAGCAAGUUCACCUCUAAUUUACUAGCUAACACACACCCUGGAGUCUCCUUAGAUAAUUCCCAAACCUCCUGCUUUCAUCUAACCAAAAUGAGUAUCUUUCGUUGUUGGUAAAUAUAUGAGUUUCAGACGACUACGGUGCAAGCUGGUGAGCCUUGCUUUUCUAAUUUAUGUUUUAAUUAAUUUCCUUUCCAACUUGCUCCAUUUUGUGCAUUCUUUUCCUCUCAUGUGUUUGCAAUACUUCCCAGGGAAUAACACCUACAUUUUGAAUUAUAGAUUUCUUGAAUGCAUCUUUUAGGUAAUUAAGGUGUUAACAAAGACAAGACUCAAGUAUGAUCCUUAAAGAAUUUCUUGGCCUGGCGCGGUGGCUCACGCCUGUAAUCCCAGGACUUUGGGAGGCUGAGGAGGGCGGAUCAUGAGGUCAGGAGAUCGAGACCAUCCUGGCUAACAUGGUGAAACCCCGUCUCUACUAAAAAAUACCAAAAAAAAUUAGCCAGGCGUGGUGGCGGGUGCCUGUAGUCCCAGCUACUCGGGGGGCUGAGGUGGGAGAAUGGCAUGAACCCAGGAGGCGGAGCUUGCAGUGAGCCGAGAUCGUGCCACUGCACUCCAACCUGGGCAACAGAGCGAGACUCCAUCUCAGGAAAAAAAAACAAAAAACAAAAAACAUUUUUUUGCAUGUUUAAUCAACCAUUACACACAUCACUAAUUGGGAUCAAUUUCCAUUUUUUCAGUUCUCAUUUGAACCAUGAAAAUCAUAGGGUUAGACUUUUUCCUGACUAUAUCCAAUUCAUAUAUUUUAACACAAAAUGUUCUUGGCAAAUAUCUGACUAUAAGUUUUUGAUUUAAAUGAUUCCAUUAGGAUAAUUAAUCCAUAAAUAUAAUUAAUUCAAAAUUGAUAAAAAUAUUUAAUUAAAAUUAAAAACUGAUUGUCAUUCGGACACUCUAAAAUUUGAAGUCAGUAAGAAUGGGCUUAAAAAUGUGAGGUAUUACUUAUAAGUGAUCACUAAAGUAAAUAAAAAUUAACAAAUUUAAAAGCCUUAGCUUAAUUUUGAAGAGUUGUAAAUAAGAAUGGCAGGUUUUUAAAAACACGCUUGUGUUUUGCAAUCUUCCAGUAAUAUAAUGAACCCAGCACACAUUGAUAAACUCUAUCUGUAUUUAUAGGUUGAAAAGAAGAUCAAGAAGUUUAGACAGAGACUUGGAUCAUCAACCAAUUCUAAUUCUGCUACUUAGAGAAAAAUCCAACUAACAAAAUUAUUAGGACCAACAUCACUAAGAAUGCUGGUUGAUAUCUUAUGCAUGCUCUUUGAUUAUAGAUAUAGUUUUGGUUAAUAAAUAUAUAAAAUGGGUAGCUAUGCUCAAAAGCAACACCUUCAUUUUGGUGCUAGUUGUCUUCUAAACAAACUAAUAUUAUUCGAGCUAAAGAGAAAAAAAAAAACAAAAACAGGAAACAUGAAAAGCAGUGGCAUUAAACCAGCUCACUUUGAGUUUUCUGGACAUUCCAUUUUGCAUACAUCUCUCUUUCCAUUUUCAUUUAUAUAGGAGUUAUGCCAAAAACACUAGUUUACCAAAUGAUGUGAUCUAUUUCUUUCUCAUCACAAAACCAUCUAAACAUUCAUUUCAGUAAAAUAUCUCUCAGGCAUUUAACUUAAGUGUUAAACUGGUACUUUCUCAGAGUUCAAUUUGAGGUGGAUAAGACCAUAGUAAUUCAAUACAGCAAGUGUCACUGUAAGGGAAGCCCUCAGGUGGUCUCCCUAAUUAUUUCAUACUAAUUAGCUCAGAUAGUAAAAGGUUCUGUUUUAUUACCUUGAUGCAAGUGGCUGAUGCUUUGGGACAGUUAAUUGUGCUACAUUUCAUUUUUUAAAUGAAAAUGUCAUUACCUGGAUAUAGCUUUUUAUUGUGCUUUAAUAUUGUCAAUAGGUAAAACAUUACAGGAAAAAAGAUUAUUUUUCAAAUUUCUUAGCAUUGAUAGCUAAAUUGAAAUUUACUUUCUAUUUUUUAAAUAUUGAACUUCAUUGAUCAAACACUGUUCUGGUAUUUAGCUUCACAUUGUUAAAACCAGAGACAAAGGCCACAUAAACGGAAACUUUAGCGAGAAAACAUUAGCUGUGUUUUACCUUACAUGGUGAAUAUGUAUUUAAUUUUCUCUUCACUACUUAAAUAACUCAAAUACUAAUUCCAGGGUGCUUUUUAAGUUCUUACUAAUCCUAAGUAUUUAGUUCUGUGAUCAUUUUUAUCUUUGAAUAACAGUCAUCAUUCUCCCUUCCUGCAUUGUCAUAACCGUCAUGUUUCCAUGGAAACUGUGGAGAAAGAAUAAAAUGGUAAAACACCUCCAUUUAGGUCUAAGUUGACAGGGUUGUUUUUUAUUAGGAGCUUCAAUUAUUUAGACAGAUAAGAAUAUGUGCAGUGGCCUAAUAAAUGAUAUAGAAUAAUAGUCGAUCUUCAAAAACAGGAAAUUAUGUUUCCAGCUAAUAGAACUUAGCAAUUUCUGUUAAGAACUAGUUAUUGGUGGUGAGUCUUGGGGGUGUUUUGUUUUCUUCUUUAUUUUUUAUUGUACUGUUUGAAUUUUCUGUUAUCAUGUAAAAUAAAACAACAAAAUAAAAAAUCUUUAAAAAGAACUAGUUAUUUAUUACAUUCUUAAUACAUACAUUUUGAUCUUUACCAAAUAUAAGAGACAAAAUAGCUACCUUUUAGAUAGACAUUUAAAAUAGAAAAAUAAUUAUUCAAUGCACAUAAAGGGAUUUAGAGAAAUCUUAUAAAAUCUACUUGGAGUUUCGUCCAAAUUAUUGUUUACUUCCCACAUUCUGCUCCUCUAAAAAUCAUACAUUUUAAAAAAGCAACCAAUUUUAACUUAAAUACAAGUUAAUUGUAUUUGAAUCUCUGAAGGGAUCCAGAGGAAACUGGUUAUAGUACUUGCUUCUAAAAAGGAAGAUUUGCCUUUUGCUUUCUUUGUAUAUGUUUUAAGUUAUUUGUUGAUGUUGUUUGUUAAACAAGGUAGUUAUUACUUACUUGAAAUGUAGGCUGUCCUUUGAAAUAAAGAUCCUAGUUAAUAAAAAUCCACAGUGUUAAAUGA